rnacentral:rRNA from 1 species
CCUAAUACAUGCAAGUCGAGCGGACCGACGGGAGCUUGCUCCCUUAGGUCAGCGGCGGACGGGUGAGUAAUACGUGGGUAACCUGCCUGUAAGACUGGGAUAACUCCGGGAAACCGGGGCUAAUACCGGAUGCUUGAUUGAACCGCAUGGUUCCAAUCAUAAAAGGUGGCUUUCAGCUACCACUUACUGAUGGACCCGCGGCGCAUUAGCUAGUUGGUGAGGUAACGGCUCACCAAGGCGACGAUGCGUAGCCGACCUGAGAGGGUGAUCGGCCACACUGGGACUGAGACACGGCCCAGACUCCUACGGGAGGCAGCAGUAGGGAAUCUUCCGCAAUGGACGAAAGUCUGACGGAGCAACGCCGCGUGAGUGAUGAAGGUUUUCGGAUCGUAAAACUCUGUUGUUAGGGAAGAACAAGUACCGUUCGAAUAGGGCGGCACCUUGACGGUACCUAACCAGAAAGCCACGGCUAACUACGUGCCAGCAGCCGCGGUAAUACGUAGGUGGCAAGCGUUGUCCGGAAUUAUUGGGCGUAAAGCGCGCGCAGGCGGUUUCUUAAGUCUGAUGUGAAAGCCCCCGGCUCAACCGGGGAGGGUCAUUGGAAACUGGGGAACUUGAGUGCAGAAGAGGAGAGUGGAAUUCCACGUGUAGCGGUGAAAUGCGUACGAGAUGUGGAGGAACACCAGUGGCGAAGGCGACUCUCUGGUCUGUAGCUGACGCUGAG